rnacentral:rRNA from 1 species
UUCCUACGGGACGCAGCAGUAGGGAAUCUUCCACAAUGGACGAAAGUCUGAUGGAGCAACGCCGCGUGAGUGAAGAAGGGUUUCGGCUCGUAAAGCUCUGUUGGUAGUGAAGAAAGAUAGAGGUAGUAACUGGCCUUUAUUUGACGGUAAUUACUUAGAAAGCCACGGCUAACUACGUGCCAGCAGCCGCGGUAAUACGUAGGGGGCAAGCGUUGUCCGGAUUUAUUGGGCGUAAAGAGAGUGCAGGCGGUGUCAUAAGGCCGAUG